AUUGAACGCUGGCGGCAGGCUUAACACAUGCAAGUCGAGCGGGGGAAGGUAGCUUGCUACCGGACCUAGCGGCGGACGGGUGAGUAAUGCUUAGGAAUCUGCCUAUUAGUGGGGGACAACAUCUCGAAAGGGAUGCUAAUACCGCAUACGUCCUACGGGCGAAAGCAGGGGAUCUUCGGCCCUUGCGCUAAUAGAUGAGCCUAAGUCGGAUUAGCUAGUUGGUGGGGUAAAGGCCUACCAAGGCGACGAUCUGUAGCGGGUCUGAGAGGAUGAUCCGCCACACUGGGACUGAGACACGGCCCAGACUCCUACGGGAGGCAGCAGUGGGGAAUAUUGGACAAUGGGGGGAACCCUGAUCCAGCCAUGCCGCGUGUGUGAAGAAGGCCUUAUGGUUGUAAGGCACUUUAAGCGAGGAGGAGGCUACUUUAGUUAAUACCUAGAGAUAGUGGACGUUACUCGCAGAAUAAGCACCGGCUAACUCUGUGCCAGCCGCCGCGGUAA
rnacentral:rRNA from 1 species